GGACAGAGCCGGAGCCGGAGCAGAUGCGACGUGGCCGUUGUCGUCUGUCACGGAGUAAAUUUGAACGCUGUCGGCGAAUACGGGCAUCGGGCAACGGAAAACGAAUGAGGGUCAAUUAAGCCAAUUUAAAUUUAAUAAACUUAUGUAUUAUGUGCAAGAGGUUACUAGCCAUAGCAAUAUGCCAUCCGUAUAUGACUUGCAAUGAUACAUCUACACAUCUACGUACAUAUAUGACUACUCGUACAUACACAGGCGAACGAAGACCCGAAGUGGAGGGGCAAUAAUACUCGUAUUUUUCUAUUUUUGGGGAGGGUAGACAAAUGUAGUACUCGUAUUUGACGGAGAAGGAGAAGGAGAUUGGAUACAGAUGCAUGACACAGCUGCCACAGAAGAAUACAUUACACAACGGACGGAUGCUUCGAGCUGUCAAUUGUGAGGGAUGCUGUGAUGCUGUCAUUCCCAUCGAUCCACCGAUCCAGCAGAAGAACCCAUUCUAACUGAUGUACAUAUCAUUGCAGAGAUCAGAUCAGAACAGCAGUUCAAGGAGGGGUCACGGCACGGGAAAUGAACAGGCACGGGAGAUCGCGGGUGUACUUCUUGGCAGAAAGUCUCUAGCAUACAUACAUACAUAUUUAUAAGUACAUAUAAAGUAUACCAUCCUCCCGCUGGAGAGGUGUCCGGUCCAGGUGGGGAAGAACACAGCUGCUCUCUUCCGCAGAAUAAUUCAGACGAGGAAUCCCAUCUCGGAUCUCGCCGAAGAUGUGCACAUGUGUGGUGGCCUUGCAAUUGUUCUAUAUUAUAAAUGCUUAAAUUACUCCUAGAUGGGGCAACAACAUUCAUACUCGUAGAAGCGAACAACAUAUAUCCCUCACCAUUAGUUAUGAUCUAUGUAUAUAUGUACAGUUGUCGAGUAAAUUUCACGGAGAAUUUUCUAUGUGCUGUUCUGUUCAGUUCUUCCGUGCGUUACCAUUUUGAGUCCUUGACAAGCGAGCUCUAGCAUGCUUCUAUAUGUGUGUUUAAUCAUGUAUGUACAUUGCACUUAGACCGACACUUAGGGCUACUUAGGCCUAGAUAAAUACAAGUAUGUGGUAGCUACACUUAAACACUUCAGUUAAUCAAAUUGAAAAUCAAUAGGUAAUACUUUUAUAGAGGAUAUGGACAUGAUAUUCUCACAAAUGCGACUCCCGCAGAACUCUGCCGGGUCUGGAAGAGUGCAGGUCCUGUUUAGAUUAAAUGGAUACAAGUUUAUAUGUUUAUUUAUAUAUCAUGGCGUAAAUUAGUUGCAAUCGGUUUGCUCAGUUUUGAUCAGGGUUUGGCGCGCAACAUUUACCUCGACCUCGACUUCGACCUCGAGACCGAGACCCCG